rnacentral:rRNA from 1 species
AUAAUUUAAGACUGGAAUGAAAGAGUUAACUUAAAAAAAAAUUUUUCUUAUAUUUUUUUUAAAUUUUACUUUUUAGUAAAAAGGCUAAAAUUAAGCUUAAAGACAAGAAGACCCUGUAAAACUUUACAUAACUAAACUUAAUUAAUAAAAUUUAUGUUCAGCUGGGGCGGCAAAGAAUACUAACAUUCUUAAAAUUAAAUAAUUAUAAUUAAAAUACCUAGAAAUUCUAAAAAUUAAUUUAGCUACUUCAGGGAUAACAGCGUUAUACAUUUUUAAAGACCUUAUUAACGAAUGUGUUUGCGACCUCGAUGUUGGAUUGU